rnacentral:lncRNA from 1 species
GCUUCUCGCAUCUUCUCAUCCACCGGGACCACCCCCACCUUCUCUCGAAUAACAUCAUUCUUAAUCUUAUCUAGCCUGGUGUGUCCGCACAUCCACCUAAGCAUCCUUAUCUCCGCAACCCUCAUCCUCUGAACAUGCGAGUUCUUCACGGGUCAGCACUCCGCCCCAUACAACAUCGCAGGUCUAACCACAGCUCUAUAGAAUUUCC